AUGGACUUCAUCAGUGCCGGAGUGUGAGGCACUUUGUAUCUUGGAGCCAUAACCAGAAAGCAAAGCCUACAGUAGACCUUUUUCAAACUUUCUGUGUGGUUUGCACGUUCGUCCACUGCACCGAGGUAGCAUUUCUUCUCAUUAUGACUCCUGGGGUUGUCCACCUGCCUCCGGUUCCCAAAACCCUGCGGGUGUGGAAGCUGUGAGAUGCAGAAACUGAGGCCCAGGACCACACACUGACACCAAGUGGACUAGUAGGAUUCAGGCCAUUGACCAUAUUCUUCCAACUUCAGGAGCAACAGUACCUGGAGGACCCAAAUUUGCUGUCAUCCUCCACGAGGCCUCAGCAGUCUCCAACAUGGAGGGGCACUGAGCCAGCCUAGGGGUUUCCAGGGACCUUCCUGACUGAACACUGGAAAGACCCUUUCAUUCAUCCUGUCCCCCAGGUGGGACCCCAUGCCCUGAGGUGGAACAGAGGUGAAGAGGAAGGGGAGUGGCUCCUGUGCGUUUUAAUACAAAUGAAUUUAAGUUGUCUCCUGAAGGACUCAGUUCCUUGGGCCCAAACUUCUCCAGUCUCUCACGAAAGGGGAUGAACUGCCUCAGAUAAAGUGCUAAUCUUCAGCCUCGAAGUCCUCGAAAGGGCCCUUUCCAUGUUGCUGGGCUGUGAAAGGCUGAAGGAGGUGGAGCUGGGGAGGAAGAGGAAGAUCUAGAGGUCUGAGAGAGCCUCAACUGAGUAGAGAGCAGCCUGGGUUCCGAAGUCCUGGCCCCAGUGGUGUGUAGCCAUGUGACUUUAGAUCAGGCCCUUGACUUCUCCAAGCUACUGUGUGCACAGCUAUCAAAUGGGAAUAAUAACAGUAUUGACCUCAUGGGUGGUUAUGAGGCUUUACUGAGAUGGUACAAUGUCAAGGACUUAGCACAUUGCCUGACACGUAACACUCAGUAAAUGCCACCCUGACUGCAUUUAAUUUGGGAAGCCAGACCCUUACCUACCCAAGGGCUGUGAUGGUAGCAAGCCCACCUGCAGCCAUCCUCAGAGGGCAGGUGGAGAGCGAAGCCACGCCCCAGAGCCACGGACUCCAGAAUGCCUGUCAUGGACUCUGUGCCUAGACCUGUUACUUGAUUAGGACUUCUGACCCCAGCUUCUCCCCCAUUUGCCCUGUCACACCAUCCCUUAAGUGUCCUGUUGCCCCCUCUUGACCCUUCCUCCCACCCCAAUUCCAUUCAUCACAGCCCACUUGUGGUGGCAGAACUGAGAUGCCCAAGGCACCAAGCUCAUGUUGCCACUGUUUGUCGCCCUCUGUGCCUUACAACAAUGUGGGACCUGGGGAUUCUAAACCACCACACUCACCGAUUCUCUCAAUCAAUCCCCAUGACCAUCUCCAUGCCUCCAAGCCCCUCUCUGUCAGCCCAGAGGGGAAGAUGCCCGCAAGGUCUCUGGCUCCUUAGUGCAGAGCGGGGUCUACACCAGGUGCACA